rnacentral:piRNA from 1 species
UCGUGUGCCUAGUUACAUUUUGAACAGU